AUGCAGCCGCCUCCUGGCUAUACUGUCUCUGAUGGCAUUGUCUGUCGCCUUCGGCGCGCUCUUUACGGGCUGAAACAAGCUCCUCGUACCUGGUUUGAGCGUUUCUCCACCAUCAUCACAGGGAUCGGGUUCUCUGCUAGUGCUCACGAUCCUGCUCUGUUUAUUCACACUUCUCCUCGCGGUCGCACCCUUUUACUACUCUAUGUUGAUGACAUGAUUAUCACAGGGGCUGACCACCAAUUCAUUGAUUUUGUGAAGAAACGUCUACAUGAGCAAUUCUUGAUGACUGAUUUGGGUUCUCUUCGCUACUUUCUUGGACUUGAGAUCAUUUCUUCCCCUGAGGGUAUUUAUCUCUCUCAAGAGAAGUACAUCCAAGAUCUUCUCACUCGUGCCUGCCUCACUGAUCAGCGCACGGUUGACACUCCUAUGGAGUUUGGUCUCCAUCUUCGUCCUGGUGAGGGUGAACCCCUUGCAGAUCCCACACGCUACCGCCAUCUUGUUGGGAGCCUUGUCUAUCUAGGCAUCACUCGUACUGACAUUUCCUAUGCUGUGCACAUUCUGAGUCAGUUUGUCUCUCCUCCCACUCAACUUCACUACAGUCACCUUCUUCGUGUUCUUUGUUACCUUCGUGGUACUGUGACUCGUCGCUUAUUCUUCCCUCGCUCCAGCUCUCUUCAGCUUCAGGCCUACUGUGAUGCUACCUGGGCCAGCGAUCCCACUGAUCGUCGCUCUCUCUCUCUCUCUGCCUAUUGUGUUUUUCUUGGCUCCUCCCUGGUUGGCUGGAAGACCAAGAAGCAGACUGUUGUAUCUCGCUCCAGUGCUGAGGCUGAGCUGCGAGCUAUGGCAUCCAUGACUACAGAAAUUACUUGGCUACGGUGGCUUCUUCAGGAUUUUGGUGUUUCCACUGCUGCACCGACCCCUCUGCUCUCCGAUAGCACUGGGGCACUCAGCAUUGCCCGUGAUCCUGUUAAGAAUUAG
rnacentral:rRNA from 1 species